rnacentral:rRNA from 2 species
AAACUAACCAGGAUUCCCCUAGUAACGGCGAGUGAAGCGGGAUGAGCUCAAGCUUAAAAUCUCUGUGCAAGUUUUGCACGGCGAAUUGUAGUCUAUGGAGGCGCUGUCAGUGCGGCCACUUGGGGUAAGUUCCUUGGAAGAGGACAGCAUCGAGGGUGAUACUCCCGUUUGUACCCGAGUGUGUUGUGCGUACGACACGUUUUCUUUGAGUCGCGUUGUUUGGGACUGCAGCGCAAAGUAGGUGGUAAAUUCCAUCUAAAGCUAAAUAUUGGUGCGAGACCGAUAGCGAACAAGUACCGUGAGGGAAAGAUGAAAAGAACUUUGAAAAGAGAGUUAAAGAGUACCUGAAACUGCUGAAAGGGAAGCGAAUCGUAUCCAGUGUCUAUAAUCCUUGGCAUAUUUCAUUGGCGAGUGUGUGCGUGCUGUGUGUGGGAAGCGGCCUUGUGUUGCUCUCUAUGCGGUUCUGCGUGUGCUUGCUGGUGCCCUGUGUCUUGGUGGGACGUCAGAGUCAGUUCGUAUGCUGCGGGAAAUGGCUGUGGAGGAGGUAGGUCGGGGUUCGCCCCGGCUGUUAUAUCUCUGCGGCUAGUUGUCGUGGUUGGGACUGAGGUGCCUACAACGUGCAAUUGGGUCUAACGGGUUCUCGUUUCUCAGCCUGCGUGGAUAGCUUGCUAUGCUUGCGGGUGUUUGUGGAGGCGAUUGAGUCUGUUAGUAACUUAGGCCGUUCGGGACUUUGACGAAAUGGAGCGAUUCGGC